rnacentral:rRNA from 1 species
AUGUCUUACUUGAGAUGGUUGCCUCCCUGGCCUUAUUGCUGCUGCUGCUGGUUGCUUCCCCAUCCCCUUCCCCUACAGUGCUAUAUUGCAUCACUGAUCUGCACUGUUUGUUUGUCACUCAUUCAGCUUACUUACUGGGGCAUCUUUCUUGUGUUGCUGUUGCAUCUGGCGGAGCUGACGUUGGGUCCCCAAAAGGUAACCUUCAUCAGCCACAACCCCACAACAAUGGCUCAAGGUUCUGUGCCCCAUCACCCCUCUUUCUAA